UACAGAGGUGGCAAGCGUUGUUCGGAAUUACUGGGCGUAAAGGGCGCGUAGGUGGCCUUCUUAGUCAGACGUGAAGUCCCCAGGCUUAACCUGGGAACUGCGUCUGAUACUGGAAGGCUCGAGUUCGGGAGAGGAAUGUGGAAUUCCAGGUGUAGCGGUGAAAUGCGUAGAUAUCUGGAGGAACACCGGUGGCGAAGGCGGCAUUCUGGACCGAAACUGACGCUGAGGCGCGAAAGCCAGGGGAGCAAACGGG
rnacentral:rRNA from 1 species